GUCAAGUAUUUCUGCUCAUAACUCAGAAAAACUAUUUUGGCUUCAUCAAAUCAUAGGCCUUCAUCAUAGCAGUUAGCCUUCCAGUUUAUUUAUAGUUCAAUCAUAGGCAGCCCAGCAAAAUGUGUAAAAAUGCAUUAAACGCUUAAAAAUACGUAUAAAGUUCGUCACAAUUUGCUAUCAAGCGAUUUAUUUGUGUAGCUCAUUAUACAUGCAGAUUCCGAUGUUUACGUCAUUGUAUUUUCAUAUAGUAUA